UCCUGUCACAAAAAAGCACUUUGUGAGACUAUGUAUGUGUGUGUGCGUGUGUGUGUGUGUGUAUAUAUACACACACACACAUACACUUCUCAAGUA
rnacentral:miRNA from 1 species